CAACAUCCACUAUCAAAGAUUCUUCGUGCAACUGGUCGGUACACUUUACCAAUCAACAUUACUGCUAGAAACACCCUCAUUAAUAAAGGUGGAUUCUUCGUGGAGCACACAGGAAUUGGGAACGAUGAACAUUGGGAGGUCUUAAUGAGGGCAACUCAGGAGAUUACCUACGAGAGCCUCUGCCUGCCUGAUAAUGUGAAGCACCGUGGCAUUGAACAUUUGAAG